UGAAAACCGGCGGUGAAAAUUACCAUCACCACCGGUUUGUAGUAUCACCGCCGGCUCGUAAUACAAACCGGUGGUGAUAGUUGCCCCGGACCCGAAAUUUUCAUCAACUUCUAUUCAGAGGAACAACUUGCAUUCGGGCCCAUGCUAUCCCACUCCCCUGCCCAGCUACCCCUCUCUCUUCCUCACUCUCUUUGCCUCCCCCCGCCCCCCUCUCUUCCUCCUCCUCCCACUUGCCGCACCCCUCUCUCUCUCUCAGCCCUCCCUCUCGCCGAUCGCCUUCCAUCCUCCUCUCCCUCUCCUCUGUGGCUCCCUCCCUCCCCCAGCCGCCUCCCCUCUCUCCCUCUCUUCAAGAUCUCACCGCCCCUCUCCUCC
rnacentral:lncRNA from 1 species